rnacentral:rRNA from 1 species
CAAUAGCGUAUAUUAAAGUUGUUGCAGUUAAAAAGCUCGUAGUUGGAUUUCUGGUGGGAGCGAUCGGUCUGGCGCUUAGCGCGAGUACUUGCAUCGUCUCCGGCCAUCCUUGGGGAAAGUCUGUCUGGCAUUAAGUUGUCGGGCAGAGGAUCCUCAUCGUUUACUGUGAAAAAAUUAGAGUGUUCAAAGCAGGCUUAUGCCGUUGAAUAUAUUAGCAUGGAAUAAUAAGAUAGGACUUUGGUACUAUUUUGUUGGUUUGCGCACCAAAGUAAUGAUUAAUAGGGGCAGUUGGGGGUAUUCGUAUUCCGUUGUCAGAGGUGAAAUUCUUGGAUUUACGGAAGACGAACUACUGCGAAAGCAUUUACCAAGGAUGUUUUCAUUAA